AGGAGGGCCAAAGUUGAAAUAGCACUGCUGCAAGAACCUUAUGCAUGGAGAAACCGGGUGGCAGGCCUGGGACAUCUGGGGGGAGCUCUGUACUAUGAAGGAAAUGAGACCUUGUCGUGGUGGAGACCUACUUCAUCAAUGACGAAGGGAAGAGAUGCAAGGUGGCGCUGGCGUCCUGCUAUCAGCCGGGCGACGCAGAGACACCUACAAAGGAAUUGGAAGAAACGGUUCUGAGGUAUAGAGGAAAACAAGAAGAUUUGAGGAGAGAAGUGUGGGAGGGCAGCCGGGACAGUAACCUGCAGCU